AUUGAACGCUGGCGGAAUGCUUUACACAUGCAAGUCGAACGGUAGAGGGGGCAACCCCUUGAGAGUGGCGAACGGGUGAGUAAUAUAUCGGAACGUGCCCAGUCGUGGGGAUAACGUAGCGAAAGUUACGCUAAUACCGCAUACGAUCUAAGGAUGAAAGCGGGGGACUCGCAAGAGCCUCGCGCGAUUGGAGCGGCCGAUAUCAGAUUAGGUAGUUGGUGGGGUAAAGGCUCACCAAGCCAACGAUCUGUAGCUGGUCUGAGAGGACGACCAGCCACACUGGGACUGAGACACGGCCCAGACUCCUACGGGAGGCAGCAGUGGGGAAUUUUGGACAAUGGGCGCAAGCCUGAUCCAGCAAUGCCGCGUGCAGGAUGAAGGCCUUCGGUUGUAACUGCUUUGUUACGGAACGAAACGGUACGAGGCUCUAAUACAGUUUG
rnacentral:rRNA from 1 species